CCUACGGGUGACAGCAGUGGGGAAUAGUGCACAAUGGGGGAAACCCUGAUGCAGCGACGCCGCGUGAGUGAAGAAGAGUUUCGGCGCGUAAAGCUCUGUCAGCGGGGAAGAAACACGGUGCGCGAGAGCCGCGGACGGUACCCGACCAAGAAGCACCGGCUAACGACGUGCCAGCAGCCGCGGUAAGACGUAGGGGGCAAGCGUUAGCCGGAUGCACUGGGGGUAACGGGAGCGUAGACGGCGAGACAAGGCGGGAGUGAAAGGCCGGGGCCCAACCCCGGGACUGCUCGGGAAACUGCCUGGCUGGAGUACAGGAGAGGUAAGUGGACUUCCUCGUGUAGCGGU
rnacentral:rRNA from 1 species